AGUGAACGUUGGCGGCGUGGAUUAGGCAUGCAAGUCGAGCGAGAACCGUAGCAAUACGGGGACAGCGGCGAAAGGGACAGUAAUGUGUAGGUACCUACCCCGAGGUCUGGGAUAGCUGCGGGAAACUGCAGGUAAUACCGGAUAAUGUCUUCGGACCAAAGGUGUGAUUCCACCUUGGGAGGGGCCUGCAUCCUAUUAGCUAGUUGGCGGGGUAAUGGCCCACCAAGGCAACGAUGGGUAGCGGGUGUGAGAGCACGACCCGCGUCAUUGGGACUGAGACACUGCCCAGACACCUACGGGUGGCUGCAGUCGAGGAUCUUCGGCAAUGGGCGAAAGCCUGACCGAGCGACGCCGCGUGCGGGAUGAAGGCCUUCGGGUUGUAAACCGCUGUCGUAGAGGAGGAAAUGCAGGGGGGUUCUCCCUUCUGUUUGACCUAUUCUAGGAGGAAGUACGGGCUAAGUUCGUGCCAGCAGCCGCCGCCG
rnacentral:rRNA from 1 species